ACACCGUUGGCGCUUAUAAAAACAUGGCGGAAAACUGAGAACGCCUAGAUCAUGGUGUAAAGAUUUAUACCAUGGCCCAAAUCAAAGGCGCCGACAGAGAGUGCCCCUACAAGUUAUACUAUGGUAGUUUGACGGUUUCCCUCUUUUCGGUUAUCCUUACAGUGCAAAAAUCACCUCUAUAGAGGCUAGGACGGAAGCAUUUGGACGAUCGAUGAUGCCCAACUCGACAAAAGUCUGCAAUGUAUAUAAUGUUUGCAUCGGGUACAUUGGUUGGUUUUGGUACACGUGUACAAGUGACGAAGUGAUUUGAAACGAGUGAAUCUAGCCUGUAUAUGGUCCGACCCAAGCCGUUCGUCUACUGUGUAGUCAAUGAACGUGAUGCUCACUAUUGCUUGACGAGAUCUAAGAUGCGCAUGGUUGUGGUCAGAUAUUACCCACCAUUGACAAUGGUACUUGCAUAAGCUAUGGGUGCUUCGCCGAAGAGGGCGAGAGACGAACGGAGAAAUGGGCCCUCUCGGCUCGGAGAUCCUGAAUGGUAAUGAUUAUAGCAAAUUGCUCUUGCUUGGCUUGGGGUGCCUAAUAGCCACUCAGUGGGGUUGUUGAAACCGCUCGCCCCUUCGUUCAACCUUUGAUGCCCCCGACCGAGUCAACCCUUCAAAACUUGAUUGUUUCUACCCUGCUCCGCAGCGUGGACGGUUCCCUCAAGUUGGUUCUCUCUCCUUGGAUGUUCUCGAUACGUCUUACCGACGUGCACAUUUCUCUUCUCACGAUGCGUCCAGUACGUGUUGCCUUUUACUGAAAAAGGAAAGGGGGAAGAGAAGAGAGAUGCGAGAAACAAGGCAGGGAAGAAGAGGCCUGCAAGGACCAUGGUUGGUGUUGCCCACGCUAUGGCCCAUCUAUCCACGUCCACUGUGACCACCUGCGCAAUCUGACAGUCCAACUCUAACGAGGCGCGUAGUCUUCUAUGAUAUUUUACAAAAGACAAUUCAUGGCAUGUUUGUUCUCCGUAACAGUCCAGAAGGAACUUGACGAUUCUCUGCUUUUGACAAUGUCAAGUACCUAUACUUGUGUAUAUCAGACUAUCGCGAUGCUAUAUAAUGAGAAACGAGCCUCGAAAUAUUUUUUAAUGUUGAAUUAUUUAUAUCCAUUAUAUAGCGUGAAAACUUUUAAAAGUGUAUGCAGUCACUAAUAACUAACAUUAAUCGAUAAUCAAAAUUAGUUUCUCAGUAAUAAAUUGAUAUUUUUCGCAAGGUUUUUAUGCUUAAACGCUCAUUCUGGAUCAUAAAAGAAGAUUUCUCUCAUACACAAAGAGAAGAGAGCGCGCGCGAGAGAGAGAGAGAGAAUUUACAAAAAUAAUAUAAUUUCUCGUACUUAUCCUUGUUUUCCUUCUUCUUUUACGUCUUCUUCUUUCGACUAGUGGUCGAAGAUUUUCAGCAUCCUAGUGGUCAAUUUCCCACUCAGACGGAAUCAUUAGUCUGUAGCUAUAGCUAUAGCACAGGAUACUCUCGCACUUCCUUACACAAUGAGAGAAGUACACUCGAUGAGCGGAAUUAUAUGUAUAUUCGUAAUAACCGGAAAAAAUGUUUAUACUUAUAUUUAUACUAGUAAAACUUAAUUUUUAGUUAACACACAUAAUAGUUUAUAGUUAACAGAUCCUAUAUUAUUCCAAGAAAAGGAUCGACGAAUGAAAUUAUUAACUAUUAUUCUGCGCGAAUAUAUAUUAAGAAUUUGAUUUCUAUAACUUUUUUUCAACGUGCUAUUUAAUCUUUGUCAUUAAAGUUAAAAGUCAAAUUGUCAAUAAAGUUAAUAAAAAAUGCAAAUGGAAAAAUCUCGAUUAUAGAUUGUGUGAAUAC